rfam:Branchiostoma floridae genomic scaffold BRAFLscaffold_216, whole genome shotgun sequence.
AUUCUCUUGUGUGGAUGGUGUUCAGCACCAGGGGCAAGCGUGUUUACCUGUGUGUGUGGAAGGUAUUCAGCAGCAGGGACAGGUGUGUUUACCU